rnacentral:rRNA from 1 species
UACGAAGGGUGCAAGCGCUAAUCGGAAUUACUGGGCGUAAAGGGUGCGUAGGCGGUUCGUUAAGUCUGUUGUGAAAUCCCCGGGCUCAACCUGGGAAUGGCAAUGGAUACUGGCGGGCUAGAGUGUGUCAGAGGAUGGUGGAAUUCCCGGUGUAGCGGUGAAAUGCGUAGAGAUCGGGAGGAACAUCAGUGGCGAAGGCGGCCUUCUGGACCAAUACUGACGCUCAUGCACGAAAGCGUGGGGAGCAAACAGG